rnacentral:rRNA from 1 species
AUUGAACGCUGGCGGAAUGCUUUACACAUGCAAGUCGAACGGCAGCACGGACUUCGGUCUGGUGGCGAGUGGCGAACGGGUGAGUAAUAUAUCGGAACGUGCCCAGUCGUGGGGGAUAACGUAGUGAAAAUUACGCUAAUACCGCAUACGAUCUAUGGAUGAAAGCGGGGGAUCGCAAGACCUCGCGCGAUUGGAGCGGCCGAUAUCAGAUUAGGUAGUUGGUGAGGUAAAGGCUCACCAAGCCGACGAUCUGUAGCUGGUCUGAGAGGACGACCAGCCACACUGCAACUGAGACACGGUCCAAACUCCUAAGGAGGGGAGCAGUGGGGAUUUUUGAGAAGUGGACGGAAGUCUAAUCCAGCCAUUCCGCGUGCAGGACGAAGGCCUUCGGGUUGUAAACUGCUUUUGUACAGAACGAAAAGGUCUCUAUUAAUACUAGGGGCUCAUGACGGUACUGUAAGAAUAAGCACCGGCUAACUACGUGCCAGCCGCCGCGGUAA